UGAUAGCGAUUUUGGAGGUAAUUUCAACUGGGGAUCUCAAAUUUUAUUUUUGUGACGUGUUUUUUUGAAUUAUGUAUCUCAAUGUUUUUUUUGUUGAAAGAAUUUUAUAUGGAUUGCGUAAUCUAAUUUAAAGUUACGAAGAACGUGUAUAUUUUUCUAUGGAUUACGUAAUCUAAUUUGAAGUUUCAAAGAAUGUAAUCUAAUUUGGAUUGCAUAAUUUAAUUUAAAGUUUAAUUUGAAGUUACAAAGAACGUAAGUUAAUUUGGAUUGCGUAAUCUAAUUUGAAGUUACAAAGAACGUAAUCUAAUUUGGAAAGCGAAACACCUUUGUUCCAGCUUCACACUUUCCCUUCUAAAUGUCUCUUUCCUUGGAAGGAUUUCCUGCAGCCAAGACAUCCCCUCUACCGGCACCAGCUAGAGAAAAUAGAGAACAUGUCCAUUACAUGUUGAAGGUGAUCUUUGAAAGAAGCUCAAUCUUUUCAUCUAUGAAUUCUUUUGGAGGAAUGACAUGUCUUUUGUCGAUACAACGACGAAAGCUUCCUCAGGGAUGCGAGCAAUCCGAGAGGGAAGAAUG
rnacentral:lncRNA from 1 species